rnacentral:sRNA from 1 species
GCGGCUUUAUUUUGAAAAUGCAAGACAAUAUGCAGAAACGAUAAGAGGCUUUAAAGUUAGUCAAAUUUCACAUGAAGAGGGCCCAAGAACGAGUGAAGAAAUUGGCAGAUAAAAACUGAAGUGAUAGAUAUGAGGUUGGUGCUCUUGUGUAUGUCAAGCUCCAACCCUACAAACAGAUUUCAGUAGCAUUUCGGGCUAAUGCCAAGUUAGCACCUAACUACUUUGGGCUGUUUCUUAUCACCGAUACGAUUGGAGCGGUAGCUUAGAAGCUACAACUUCCACAGGUGUCUAAAAUUCAUGAUGUCUUUCAUGUAUCACAACUUAAAAGGCAUAUUGGUGAGGCCACGGUAGCAAGUUUUCUUCCUACCGAUUCGAAUAAUUAUAUUUAAGAAAACGUCAUACACAGAAGGGUUUCAAGCUGGAACCCAGAUACUUGUGAAGAUCACAACAUCAACACUACAGGUUCAAUAUUUCAUUUUAUGAUUCUACCAUAUAUACUGAUUGAACAUUCAUUCAAGAAAAUGUAUGGCACUGAAGAGAUAUUUGUUAAACUUGUUUGGUAAAAUAUCUUUUCUCAGUUGCCUGUGAAACAUAUGUUCAAAAUUAUCUUAUAAUUAUCUCACACAUAUAGUGGAAGAAGAUGUUUUUCAUUUUCUUGAUUCGAUGCUGAUAGUCAUAAUAUAUCAUGUUAAGCUGAUCAGACAAUCAAUCAAAUCUAAAUGAGGUGAAAUUACAAGCUAAUUUUUCCGACAGCAGAUAUAUAUUAUUCAAAGCAAUACAUUUCCAAAUAAGGCACAGACAUGCAAGCUACACACAAUCAGAAGUUCUUUACUGUCAUAAAUCAUUAGCAGUAUGAGAAGCACCAUCUUCUUGAGAAUCACCAAGCUCAUCACAUGCACUAUCAUAAUCAGCUUCAUCUGAGUUACCACUUGCACUGUUCUCUACACCAGCUGUAGGGUAGAGAGAAGAUUCUACGAGGUACUCCGGGCGCGGAGGAGAACGAAAGUAUGGUGAUGGUGGUGAAGACAAUGAUGUUGAUAGAAAUUCAACAUGCGAGUUCAAAUUAUUAUUAUUAUUCAAUUGAAGCCUGCAAACUGGACAUGUUUUGCUGCUGUUAAGCCAACGAAGAAUGCAUUCGGAACAAUAGGUGUGGGUGCAGGGUAACCGGUAUGCUUGAUCACACACUUUAAACUCAUCCAUGCAAAUGGGACAGAGAAAGAGUUUAUCUGUCUCUGAUACUCUUACCCUGCUAAGGCCAUUCAUGGCAAUCGUUGAGCAUCCACUAUUAUCACCUUCAAAAACAUGACUUAUAUUGGGAGAUUGAAGCCUAUCCUGCAGUACUUCUUCGUUAAGAAUAGCCCAAACCCCACUGAGAUCAAGCUGAUGCUGUUGCAGCAACAGUGGCCGUACAAAAUCUGGUGGUGGCGGUGGUGGUAGAAAGCGCCAAUCCAUUUGAGGUUCAGGAUUUGGUGGUGGUGGUGGUGGUGGUGGUGAUGGCGGCAGCGGCAGCGGCGGAGAAAGUUCUUGCCAUGUCCUACUAGUUGUAAUUGUAGUACUUGGUGUAAUGAUUACAGAUUCUACGUCCGAGUCAUCUGAACUAUCUGAACUAGUGGGAACAAAGCAUAGCUGAUGAUACCACCUUGUGGUUUGCCUUUGGCCACGGUUCAGUGGCAUGGUUUUGCAAGGGCUGUGUUCAACUGUAUAAUAUACUAUAUUGAAAGUCUUUAGCCAUUUACCAUAUGCAAUGUUUGUUUUCGGAGGAAGCUUCAACUUCUGAUCAUCUCAAAUUUUAUCUUCCCUUUGCUCCUUGGUCACUAAGCAAUCAUCUUUUUAGUUAAGUCUGCAAGUGGGUGCUGUCACAUGCACACAUCACAAAG